rnacentral:rRNA from 1 species
UCCUACGGGGCGCAGCAGUGAGGAAUAUUGGUCAAUGGGCGAGAGCCUGAACCAGCCAAGUCGCGUGAGGGAAGACGGUCCUAUGGAUUGUAAACCUCUUUUGCCGGGGAGCAAAAAGCGGUACGUGUACCGCAUCGAGAGUACCCGGAGAAAAAGCAUCGGCUAACUCCGUGCCAGCAGCCGCGGUAAUACGGAGGAUGCGAGCGUUAUCCGGAUUUAUUGGGUUUAAAGGGUGCGUAGGCGGAUUUUUAAGUCAGCGGUAAAAUGUCCGGGCUCAACCCGGGCCGGCCGUUGAAACUGGGGAU